rnacentral:lncRNA from 1 species
UUACGAUCGCAUAGUCAAAUUUUGAGAUUUCAUUGAUUUUUUUUAUUUAGUUUUAAAUCAAAAUUUUUAAUAUGAUUAAACCUUAGUCUCUUUUGACAUCUUCUGUAAUUUUUCAUCUAAUUUUGACCAGUAUAUCGAAUCAAAAUCAGCCCCUGAAUCCGGACUGCUGAAAAUCUAUUUUAGCAAAAAUUUUCUAGUAC